ensembl:lncRNA
CUGCUCAGUGAUUUUGUUCAGGCUAACGUCAGAUUAAAAGGUUUUUAGACAUGCUUUAGCAUGUGUUUCAACUUUAUAGCAUCUUUUGUGAACAGUUUGUACUCCUCUCCUUGUACUGUUUUUGUCUUUCUCUGCCCUGCCUCUGAUUUCAGUGAAUGUCUGUGGGAUUUAUGCUUUGAUUCAAAUCAAAUUUUAUUUCUAUAGCACUUUAACACUGGGACACGGUCACGGAGGAGCUUCACUUCUAAAAGAGUGAAAAGAACAAUAGACAACAACAAGUGCAGUGUCUUUAUCACUGCAUGUCUUUAACAACCACACAGUAUUAACAUCAGCUCAGAGUCAGACACACUCACACAUACACUGACUACCUGCAAGACAACAAGAGCCAUCUGACCACUCUGUGAGAAACCAAACAAAAAUUAUAGAUAUUUUUUCUUAUUUUAAAGGAUUUUUUUACUUAAUGCUAAAGAGUCUUCAAUAAAAGAAUAUAGACUUCAGGCACAUGUUGGUAUGUUUUCUCUCUGUUUACCUCCUCUG